UCUAGCUGCUAGUUUUUGCUAGCCGCUACGUAACCUUGAAAAGAACAACGUUGUCUCGCCGCUUUUGAGCAUUUUUUUCGUUUGUGUAACUGUGCUUUAUGUGGUGUGUGUUGUUAAUAUCGUUAUUGUCUUUGUGCGUUUUCUUGUGUUGUUUUUUGAUUCCGUUCAUUUGUAAAUUUUCUUUUCUUAAGAUAUUUAUAACUUUUAAUUAUAUUAUUCUUUACUUUUUAUAUAGGAGCUUCUUACGAAUGCGAAGUAAGCCGCAUUUAUAUAUACAUAUGUGACCUGGUCUACGAAAUGUGACUAUAUGUGAAAACUAGUUUUCUGGGAAAAGCUGUUAAAAAUAGUCGUCAGUUUCUCGUUAUCUCAUUAAUUGUUCUCCUUCUUUUUGACACCUAAGCCCCCUUUCCGUAGACCAGGUCACAUAUAAUAAGUGGUGUUCCGUGACAGGUAAAAAUCCAGUCAAGAUUAAAAGUAUAUUCAGCCCUAUUCUGCAUUUCUACUCGAAUCGAAAUUUUCUCCGAUUGGCAACUUUGGUAUUCUGCGUUUCGAUUCAACUUCGAAAAUUCCAAUUCUAUGUAUUCUGCAUUGCGAUCGUAAUUACGUUUUUGUACGUUGAAGUUUUGUUGGCGGAAAGCCGUUAUAUUCAUUUUCGUGCACUUGGAUAAAAUAAUUUCCUCAAAUAUGUCAAAAGUAACAACGGCAGAGCAAUACGAAAAAUUGUGUGAUAUGAUGGCCACAAAAAGAGAUAUUGCGCAGGACUUCCAAAAGCGACCGAAGGAAGAAGUACAAGAGUUUUGGGAGGAGGUUGCAAGGAAUUUAAAUGCACUUGGCCCACCAACAAAAGAUUCCAAUACAUGGAGAAAGGUCUGGAUUGACUGGAAAUGCUACAUGAAGCGAAAAUUAUCGCAUAACAAAAAAUAAAGGAUGAGCACCGGUGGAGGUCCUUGCCGUUUACAACGCAUAAGCCCACUGGAGGAAAAGGUGAUAGCUUUGACGGGUUUGGAAACAUGCACAAGUGGAAUAAGUGGGGCCCGCGAUUAUGGCGAUAGUGUGGAGGUAGAAGAUGCUGCCGAAACCACUGAAAUGGACACUUCCGCUCGUUCGGAUGAUAUCCCUUCAACCAGUGGAGCUAGCAGCCAAAAUAGAGAGCCGAGAGCAGACUUCUUCAUUACUCAUUCUUCAUUACUUAAGCAACAGAUUCAAAAUCAAAAAGAAUUUUAUGCAGAGACGAAAAAAUUCAAUGAAGCUGCCUUUGGUAAAAUGGAAGAAGUUACUAAAUAUUUACGGUACAUGAAUCGUUCUCUUGAAACUUUGGCGGCAACUGCAGUGAAGCAACUUGAAGAACAGAAGCGACACAAUAGAAUUAAGGAAGAGCUGUUGAAGGAAAAAGUAGAAAUAAAAAUGCAAAUGCUAAGAUUAGAUCCAAAUUAUAAGCCUGAUUCAAAGUAGUCAUUUUUUAAUUGUUAGCCUUUUAUUUAUUUUACUAUUAUUCAUUUAUAUAACGAGCUGUGAAAUGAAAAAAAAGCAUUUAAUUUUUUAAUGUAGGAGCUGUAAAAUGGACUGAAUGCAAUUGUUUUUAUUUAAUAGAGUAAUG